UUAGAAGCUGCGCCGGUGAACGCACCCAACCCGCCCCAGAGGCGGUCAUUCGCUUGCGCGAGUCCGAGUUGCCGGGUCCGCCCGAUCCCAAGCAACGUGAUGGAAUGCCGAGCUAAACCAAAAAAACAGAGGGCACUGAUGGCAGCCCUCCCAUCCCUCCAUCUCUCGGUUCUCCCGAAGCCUAGGGCACGAAAGGUGACUCGGUUUCUCGCUCCACUCUUCUCGACGACGAGAGUCGAACGGGGGCCGGCGGAAAACGGCGGCCAACCAAGAUUUGGGAGGUCUUUAAGUCCCUCUCUCUUUUUCUCUCUAAUCUUAUUUCCGUCCCUAUUAGUUUUUUUCUUUCUUUUGUCUCGCCCUCUC
rnacentral:lncRNA from 1 species